rnacentral:sRNA from 1 species
CCUGGUCACAGGACUAUACUGACCUGGAGGUCAGGGUGCCAGUACCCAAGCACGUGGUGAAGGGAAAGCAGGUCAUAGGUGAGACCCAUUGAAGCCCCAUCGAGUCCUGAGAGGCAAAGCAAAGAACCCAGGUCACAGUGAUGAAGUGGACGGCCAGGCCUGUGUGCUGUGGGGCUCUUCCAUGGAGCAGGGAGCCAUGUCCUAUAAGUACCGCAUGCUAACCGAUUGCGCCACUGGAGCCACACCAUGUCAUGAUGUACCUGUAACAUUUGCAACUUGAGUUUCAAACACUAAAGUUUCUGAAACCUCCAUCUA